rnacentral:lncRNA from 1 species
GAGGAGCGGGAGAAGAAGAAACCCAAGAGGAGAGGAUGAGGAGGUGAGGUUUGACUCGUUUGAGCCUCGAAAUUCCUGGGCUUGGGCUUGGGCUUGGCAGGGAGGAGCUCCUUGGGGACGACGAUGGUGAGGAGUGACGAUGUCGUUCCCUGUAGAUCUCCCCCUUCCCCCUUUCAGCGACGUGCCACACUUGGGGAGCAUCAUUUGGGCUUCGAAAGUUAGAGAGUGACAACAUCAUUUAGGCCUACUAGUUUUAUUUUCUAUCAAUAUGUGAUUCUUCUUAAUU